UACGGAGAGUGCAAACGUUGUUCGGAUUCACUGGGCGUAAAGGGCACGUAGGCGGCUCGGCAAAUCGGUCGUGGAAUCCAGACGCUUACCGUCUGAACGGCGGCCGAAAAUACCGGGCUCGAGGGCGUGAGGGGUCACUGGAACUCCUGGUGAAGCGGUGAAAUGCGUAGAUAUCAGGAGGAACACCGGUGGCGAAGGCGGCUUUCUGGACAGACACCGACGCUGAGGCACGAAAGCUAGGGGAGCAAACAGG
rnacentral:rRNA from 1 species